AUUGAACGCUGGCGGCAUGCCUUACACAUGCAAGUCGAACGGCAGCACGGGAGCAAUCCUGGUGGCGAGUGGCGAAACGGGUGAGUAAUAUAUCGGAACGUGCCCAGUCGUGGGGAUAACGUAGCGAAAGCUACGCUAAUACCGCAUACGAUCUAUGGAUGAAAGCGGGGGGAUCGCAAGACCUCGCGCGAUUGGAGCGGCCGAUAUCAGAUUAGGUAGUUGGUGAGGUAAAGGCUCACCAAGCCGACGAUCUGUAGCUGGUCUGAGAGGACGACCAGCCACACUGGGACUGAGACACGGCCCAGACUCCUACGGGA
rnacentral:rRNA from 1 species